rnacentral:rRNA from 1 species
UUUCUUUUCCAAAGAACAAUCGUUUGAUACUUUGUAUAAAAGACGUGCCUUGCGGAAAGGGGGAGGGGAAGCCUAGGUCCCGUGGCGUUUGCAGCCGGAGAAGGGCAUGGGUCUAGGGCCCGCUCCCCGGGGCUUGACCAACUCCAGCCUCCCUCUGCCGCCGCCGGCGUGUGCCCUCCACCAGCCCGCCUCGCUGCCGCCGGCGACGGAAGGUGCCCACUGGAGGGGGUCGCGGCGGAGCGGCGGCGUGGUGGACGAGGCGGAGCCGGGGCCGCGGUGGAGCAGCACGUGAGCACGGCGACGGGACAAGGCAGGGGCCGCGGCGAGGUGGAGCGGCAGCGGGACGAGGCAGGGGCCGCGACGAGAUGGAGCGGCAGCGUGUCGGCGGCGGCGGGACGAGGCAGGGGCUGCUGCGAGGUGGAGCGGCAGCGUGUCGGCCACGGCGGGACGAGGCAGGGGCCGCGGCCAGGUAGAGUGGCAGCGUGUCGGCAGUGGCGAGGGACGCGGGCAGCGGCGGCACGCCAACCGGUGGGACCCGCUCGCCGUAUGGCCGUACCACUCUGGCCGCCGACUUCGCGCUGCGCGACCACCUGCCUCCACCGCACCGGCUCGUCGCCGCGGUGCGGCCUGGACGGUGCCACGAGCGUAGCGGCAGUUGAGAGGGACGCGGGCAGGGGCGGCGCGCCGUCCGACUGCGGACUCCCCGCACGGCCGUACCACUCCGGUCGUCGACUUCGCGACGCCGCGGGCACCUCUCGUCGCCGCGAUGCAGCAUGGACGGUGCCGGCACGUGACCGGCGUCCCUUCUCGUGGCCGUUAUCUAAGUAGUUCCCGUGCGAGGUCGGCGACGGCAGAGUACCGGAAACAAGAGAUGCUGGGAACCCACUCGCUCGUCUGUUGUUCCCGGUCCGGUGACGGUGACGAUCACCCCUAUGCGGUGACAAGCUCUACGGCCCUCCGCGCAUCGGUAAGUCCCAGUGCCUCCUCUACCUACUCGGGAGAUGUAUGCCGUACUAUGAGUACGACCUACCUCUAAGUCCAAUGACCCUCCCUACUCACACGUAAAAAUUCUAUUUACCAUGGUUCGUAAUCUACUAAAGGGUGGUCCAUUGAUUGUACGAGGGGAAAACAAUAAAUAUACAAAUAAUUAUUCUAUAACGGGACACUCAGUUAAAUGUAAAGUUAUGAAUAUUUAAUCUUCUAGUAUAAGAACGUUAAUGGUACGUAAAAAUCUUAGUAGACAUCUCCUGAACUAUAAAUUUUAACAUUUUGUCUCGUUAACUAUCUUAAUGUUCAACAUACGUACAUAACUCAAAGAUUUUAGACAACCUAAAUUAGAGAUAAAGAAGGUCUACAAAGAAUUUCACCUCCGCCACCAUAGGACAUAAUCCAAAGUAUUGUAAGACAAAGGCUUGUUUAACGGUAAAGACUUUAACUGUUCUACCACCACCCAUAUCCGGAGUAAGUCCUAUACCACCAUGGUGAUUACCAGUUCUGUUGUGACUUUCCGUUCUGCGCCGGAACUAUGUUGCAACACCCUUUCCAAACUGGAGACUCCUACAGUUUAAGUCUCCGACCACCAACCCGCCGCUCCUAAUACCUACGUUACGGAACCCUCUACACCGACAUGCCCUAAACCGGAACCAGAGCAAUAAAGUCCUCGUUAGGCACAGGUACUCCUGUACGAAGAACGACGGACAACAACUGUUUAUACGGUUAAGUUUCGGAACUUUAGGCUUGUAAUUAAGUUAGUCCACUAUCUGAGUGUACAAUGGGGGAACCCUACUGUUGUAGAUGAGUCACCGCCUCCUGCCUUAUUUUCAAUCCAACCUCAGGUUACUUUAAAUAAAACACCCCAAGUAACAAGGGUUUGUCUCAAAGGUUACCUUUCAAUCAAAGUUAACAAUGUGAGUCUAUUUCAGUUCUACUUUCAGGAUUCAGGACCUCUCAUUGUUCUGUGAGUAUCCUCUAAUGUACGGAAACUCCACAUGGUAAGAGUACAAGUCUUUCUUGCCGUCAAACACGCCGAAGGAAAGAACAGUCCGAAUCGAGCCGCUGCUACUGUGCAGUGAGAUAAAACACACAAACAGCGACACCACAACCACCCACAAAGCCCGAUAGGGACCCGACAUGAAUCUUUCACACGUGUGACGAUAUAUACCAAUCUUCAAAGACAUCUCAUGAGCUACACUAAAUAUUCACGGGUAUCACAAUGACGAAAAUACACAGUUCAAUAGAAGAGAAGUAAAUACGUGGGUUCGGACUAAGGUAAAGCACUUCCGUUUUCUCCCGAUAGUAGU